rnacentral:rRNA from 1 species
UUUAAUUCGAAGCAACGCGAAGAACCUUACCAGGUCUUGACAUCCUUUGACCACUCUGGAGACAGAGCUUUCCCUUCGGGGACAAAGUGACAGGUGGUGCAUGGUUGUCGUCAGCUCGUGUCGUGAGAUGUUGGGUUAAGUCCCGCAACGAGCGCAACCCUUGAUUUUAGUUGCCAGCAUUUAGUUGGGCACUCUAAAGUGACUGCCGGUGCAAGCCGGAGGAAGGUGGGGAUGACGUCAAAUCAUCAUGCCCCUUAUGACCUGGGCUACACACGUGCUACAAUGGAUAGUACAAAGGGUCGCGAAGCCGCGAGGUGGAGCUAAUCCCAUAAAACUAUUCUCAGUUCGGAUUGUAGGCUGCAACUCGCCUACAUGAAGCCGGAAUCGCUAGUAAUCGUGGAUCAGCAUGCCACGGUGAAUACGUUCCCGGGCCUUGUACACACCGCCCGUCACACCACGAGAGUUUGUAACACCCGAAGUCGGUAGGGUAACCUUUAUGGAGCCAGCCGCCGAAGGUGGGACAGAUAAUUGGGGUGAAGUCGUAACAAGGUAGCCGUAUCGGAAGGUGCGGCUGGAUCACCUCCUUUCUAAGGAA